rnacentral:rRNA from 1 species
UCAGGCCUAACGCAUGCAAGUCGAACGGUAACGCGGGGCAACCUGGCGACGAGUGGCGAACGGGUGAGUAAAGUAUCGGAACGUGCCCAGUAGUGGGGGAUAGCCCGGCGAAAGCCGGAUUAAUACCGCAUGAGACCUGAGGGUGAAAGCGGGGGAUCGCAAGACCUCGCGCUAUUGGAGCGGCCGAUAUCAGAUUAGGUAGUUGGUGGGGUAAAGGCCUACCAAGCCGACGAUCUGUAGCUGGUCUGAGAGGACGACCAGCCACACUGGGACUGAGACACGGCCCAGACUCCUACGGGAGGCAGCAGUGGGGAAUUUUGGACAAUGGGCGCAAGCCUGAUCCAAAGAUGCCGCGUGCGGGAAGAAGGCCUUCGGGUUGUAAUUAACGGUUGUCAGGGAAGAAAUCUUCUGGGUUAAUACCUCGGGAGGA